GAUGAACGCUGGCGGCGUGCCUAAUACUUGCAAGUCGAGCGAAUGGAUUAAGAGCUUGCUCUUAUGAAGUUAGCGGCAGACGGGUGAGUAACACGUGGGUAACCUGCCCAUAAGACUGGGAUAACUCCGGGAAACCGGGGCUAAUACCGGAUAACAUUUUGAACCGCAUGGUUCGAAAUUGAAAGGCGGCUUCGGCUGUCACUUAUGGAUGGACCCGCGUCGCAUUAGCUAGUUGGUGAGGUAACGGCUCACCAAGGCAACGAUGCGUAGCCGACCUGAGAGGGUGAUCGGCCACACUGGGACUGAGACACGGCCCAGACUCCUGCGGGAGGAAGCAGUAGGGAAUCUUCCGCAAUGGACGAAAGUCUGACGGAGCAACGCCGCGUGAGUGAUGAAGGCUUUCGGGUCGUAAAACUCUGUUGUUAGGGAAGAACAAGUGCUAGUUGAAUAAGCUGGCACCUUGACGGUACCUAACCAGAAAGCCACGGCUAACUACGUGCCAGCAGCCGCCGUAA
rnacentral:rRNA from 1 species